UACGUAGGGACCAAGCGUUGUUCGGAUUUACUGGGCGUAAAGGGCGCGUAGGCGGCAAUUCAAGUCAUCUGUGAAAUCUCCGGGCUUAACUCGGAACGGUCAGAUGAUACUGCUUUGCUAGAGUGCGGAAGGGGCAAUCGGAAUUCUCGGUGUAGCGGUGAAAUGCGUAGAUAUCGUGAGGAAGACCAGUGGCGAAGGCGGGUCUCUGGACAGUUCCUGACGCUGAGGCGCGAAGGCCAGGGGAGCAAACGGG
rnacentral:rRNA from 1 species